rnacentral:tRNA from 1 species
AGAGGAGAUGGCUGAGAGGUUUAAAGCGGUAGAUUGUAAAUCUAUUUUUAAAGAUAAAGUCAUAGGUUCGAAUCCUAUUCUUCUCUUC